rnacentral:rRNA from 1 species
UACGUAGGGUGCAAGCGUUAAUCGGAAUGUCUGGGCGUAAAGCGUGCGCAGGCGGUUUUGUAAGUCUGUCGUGAAAUCCCCGGGCUCAACCUGGGAAUUGCGAUGGAGACUGCAAGGCUAGAAUCUGGCAGAGGGGGGUAGAAUUCCACGUGUAGCAGUGAAAUGCGUAGAGAUGUGGAGGAACACCGAUGGCGAAGGCGACUCACUGGUCCGGUACGUGACGGCU